rnacentral:rRNA from 1 species
CAUGCAAGUCGAACGGAAAUCUUUUAGAGAAAUCUUUUAGAUUUUAGUGGCGAACGGGUGAGUAACACGUAAGCAACCUGCCUUUAAGACGAGAAUAACAAUUGGAAACAGUUGCUAAGGCUGGAUAGGAAAUAAAAAGGCAUCUUUUUAUUUUUAAAAGACCUUCUUCGGAGGGUAUGCUUAAAGAGGGGCUUGCGUCACAUUAGUUAGUUGGUAGGGUAAUGGCCUACCAAGACGAUGAUGUGUAGCUGGACUGAGAGGUUGAACAGCCACAUUGGGACUGAGACACGGCCCAAACUCCUACGGGAGGCAGCAGUAGGGAAUUUUCGGCAAUGGAGGAAACUCUGACCGAGCAACGCCGCGUGAACGACGAAGUACUUCGGUAUGUAAAGUUCUUUUAUUGAAGAAGAAACAAUAGUGGAAAAACUAUCUUGACGUUAUUCAAUGAAUAAGCCCCGGCUAACUAUGUGCCAGCAGCCGCGGUAAUACAUAGGGGGCGAGCGUUAUCCGGAAUUAUUGGGCGUAAAGGGUGCGUAGGCGGUUUAAUAAGUCUCUAGUUUAAUUUCAACGCUUAACGUUGUCGCUGCUAGAGAAACUGUUUGACUAGAGUGAGAUAGAGGUAAGCGGAAUUCCAUGUGUAGCGGUAAAAUGUGUAAAUAUAUGGAGGAACACCAGAGGCGUAGGCGGCUUACUGGGUCUUUACUGACGCUGAUGCACGAAAGCGUGGGGAGCAAACAGGAUUAGAUACCCUGGUAGUCCACGCCGUAAACUAUCAGUACUAAGUGUCGGGGUUAAACUCGGUACUGAAGUUAACACAUUAAGUACUCCGCCUGAGUAGUACGUACGCAAGUAUGAAACUUAAAGGAAUUGACGGGAUCCCGCACAAGCGGUGGAUCAUGUUGUUUAAUUCGAAGACACACGAAAAACCUUACCAGGUCUUGACAUACUCUGCAAAACUAUAGAAAUAUAGUGGAGGUUAUCAGGGAUACAGGUGGUGCAUGGUUGUCGUCAGCUCGUGUCGUGAGAUGUUAGGUUAAGUUCUAAAACGAGCGCAACCCCUGUCGUUAAUUGCCAGCACGUUAUGGUGGGGACUUUAGCGAGACUGCCAAUGAAAAAUUGGAGGAAGGUGGGGAUUACGUCAAAUCAUCAUGCCCCUUAUGAUCUGGGCUACAAACGUGAUACAAUGGCUAUUACAAAGAGUAGCUUAAACGCGAGUUUUUGGCAAAUCUCAAAAAAAUAGUCUUAGUUCGGAUUGAAGUCUGCAACUCGACUUCAUGAAGUUGGAAUCGCUAGUAAUCGCGAAUCAGCAUGUCGCGGUGAAUACGUUCUAGGGGUUUGUACACACCGCCCGUCAAACCACGAAAGUGGACAAUACCCGAAAGCGAUAGCCUAACUGCGCAAGCAGAGGGAAUCGUCUAAGGUAGGGUCGAUGAUUGGGGUUAAGA